GUUACACGACCGGUAGUCCUAGCAAGGCCGACUGGCGCCGUGAAGCGCUUAUUAGAAAGUCUCUGUGCACUGUCGUGAUUUAAAACUCCCCAGACGGGGUGUCGACGGUGCCAACAUCAGUACCGGUACAAAACCACCAACGCCACCGCCUCCUCCGUAAAAUUUACAACUACGAUACGCUAUAAGGCGGAGAAUUUGACGACGACGACGAAAAAAAAAUCUAAAAAUCUCGAAGCUCGAAUCAACCACUGGAGUUACGCAAAACCCAUCGAAGGGCCGAAGGCAUCGUGCUGAAGAGAUAGUUGUCUCUCUCUUUCUCUCUCUCUCUUUCUCUGCCUACCUUCAGGAUACCGGCCGGCAGCACAAUUAUACACGUCAUUACCGGAAUGAAUAUUCAUAACGACCACAGCGAGAAAGCCCAGGGGGAAAAUGAUAUUUACUUUGUCGAUUUAUAACCAUACACACACACACACAAACAGUAAGAGAAAGAGUGAGAGAGAGGGGGGCGUUUUGGUGUGGGAAAAACAGAAGCGAAUGAACGAACAAGUCUACCGUAUCGAUCCCAAUAAAAAGAAAAACUUAGGGUAUACAAUCGGAACCCUUCCAGCUAUAUUGUUAGGAAAACGAAUUGGAGAGUUGGACUUUAUCGAGAAGGAAGAAGAAGAAGAAGAAGAAGAAGAUGGAGAAGGAGGGGAAGAAGAAGGGUCGUAUUUAUUCGAGGGCUACAUUCUCGGACACUAUCUCACGACCUUAAAAGCGGCUAAACGAUUCAAUUUGUAGUAAUUAUAAUGCAACCGCCGAGAGCCGGGCGACUUAAGUGUGCGCUUUUUUCAUUGGAACCACUUAAGAAGCGACGGAGUUUCGCGUGUGGGCGUUACGAAGCGGAUCGAGAACUCUGUCCCGACAAUUUCGUGCUAAUCUAAGUGAUAUUGAACACGUUUGACAUUAAUAAAGCUGAACAACGAAGAUUCGUCUCU